UUAAAGCAUCUCGCUUACACCGAGAAAACCCCUGUGAAAACCAGAGUAUUUCGA
rnacentral:tRNA from 10 species